rnacentral:lncRNA from 1 species
AGUAAUCCUCUAGAAUCACAACCAGUCUAAACCAAAAUAAUGAAAAGAAGAUAGAGAACUGGGACGAUUUCGAUAUUGGUGGCUUGCUUAGAUCUUCCUUUAUACGCAAGAUGACCAAGAAAAAGUGUGUGAUAGCUGUGAACCUUGGUUGACUUGGUUCAUUUGCUUGCAGGCAGGGGCGGAUUUAGGGGGACAGAAGAGUGUUCGCCCGAACCCCCUUCGUCGAAAUAUUAUUUUUUUAUCUCUAUAUAUUGUAUUAUAAAUUCACUUGAUAGCUUAGUGGUCAAGGGGUUCAAAACCUUUAUAAGGUCAUUGGUUCUAUUUCCACUAGGUACAACUUUUUUAACAUGAAUCCACUUGAUAGGUUAGUGGUCAAGGGGUUCGAUACAUUUUUAAGGUCAUUUUGUUCUAUUCCCACUAGGUACAACUUUUUUAACUUUUUCCUUUUUUUGAAUCUCCUUGAUGGUAAUCCUGCCUCCGCCACUGGCACGUUCUGAGUCAUCCUUUCCUAGGUGAUAGUUCUCAGCUCGUGAAAUUACUAUAUCAAAGCAUAACAAAAACCAUUGCAUACACGCAUUUCCAU